UACGGAGGGUGCAAGCGUUAUCCGGAUUCACUGGGUUUAAAGGGUGCGUAGGAGGGCAGGUAAGUCAGUGGUGAAAUCUCCAAGCUUAACUUGGAAACUGCCGUUGAUACUAUCUGUCUUGAAUGUUGUGGAGGUGAGCGGAAUAUGUCAUGUAGCGGUGAAAUGCUUAGAUAUGACAUAGAACACCAAUUGCGAAGGCAGCUCACUACACAAUUAUUGACUCUGAGGCACGAAAGCGUGGGGAUCAAGCAGG
rnacentral:rRNA from 1 species